rnacentral:rRNA from 1 species
UACGUAGGGGGCAAGCGUUGUCCGGAAUUAUUGGGCGUAAAGAGCUCGUAGGUGGUUUGUCGCGUUGUUCGUGAAAACUCACAGCUUAACUGUGGGCGUGCGGGCGAUACGGGCAGACUUGAGUACUGCAGGGGAGACUGGAAUUCCUGGUGUAGCGGUGGAAUGCGCAGAUAUCAGGAGGAACACCGGUGGCGAAGGCGGGUCACUGGACCGGCAUUGACGCUGAGGUGCGAAAGCGUGGGGGAGCAAACAGG